GGAUAACCUACCCUUAGGACUGGGAUAACCCUGGGAAACUGGGGAUAAUACUGGAUAGGCAAUUUUUCCUGGAAUGGUUUUUUGUUUAAAUGUUUUUUCGCCUAAGGAUGGGUCUGCGGCCGAUUAGGUAGUUGGUUAGGUAACGGCUUACCAAGCCAUUGAUCGGUACGGGUUGUGAGAGCAAGAGCCCGGAGAUGGAACCUGAGACAAGGUUCCAGGCCCUACGGGGUGCAGCAGGCGCGAAACCUCCGCAAUGUGAGAAAUCGCGACGGGGGGAUCCCAAGUGCCAUUCUUAACGGGAUGGCUUUUCAUUAGUGUAAAGAGCUUUUGGAAUAAGGGCUGGGCAAGACCGGUGCCAGCCGCCGCGGUAACACCGGCAGCUCUAGUGGUAGCAGUUUUUAUUGGGCCUAAAGCGUCCGUAGCCGGUUUAAUAAGUCUCUGGUGAAAUCCUGUAGCUUAACUGUGGGAAUUGCUGGAGAUACUAUUAGACUUGAGACCGGGAGAGGUUAGAGGUACUCCCAGGGUAGAGGUGAAAUUCUGUAAUCCUGGGAGGACCGCCUGUUGCGAAGGCGUCUAACUGGAACGGUUCUGACGGUGAGGGACGAAAGUUAGGGGCGCGAACCGGAUUAGAUACCCGGGUAGUCCUAACUGUAAAC
rnacentral:rRNA from 1 species